AGUGAACGCUGGCGGUAGGCCUAACACAUGCAAGUCGAACGGCAGCACAGGAGAGCUUGCUCUCUGGGUGGCGAGUGGCGAACGGGUGAGGAAUACAUCGGAAUCUACUCUGUCGUGGGGGAUAACGUAGGGAAACUUACGCUAAUACCGCAUACGACCUACGGGUGAAAGCAGGGGAUCUUCGGACCUUGCGCGGUUGAAUGAGCCGAUGUCGGAUUGGCUAGUGGGCGGGGAAAAGGCCCACCAAGGCGACGAUCCGUAGCUGGUCUGAGGGGAUGAUCAGCCACACUGGAACUGAGACACGGUCCAGACUCCUACGGGAGGCAGCAGUGGGGAAUAUUGGACAAUGGGCGCAAGCCUGAUCCAGCCAUACCGCGUGGGUGAAGAAGGCCUUCGGGUUGUAAAGCCCUUUUGUUGGGAAAGAAAUCCAGCUGGCUAAUACCCGGUUGGGAUGACGGUACCCAAAGAAUAAGCACCGGCUAACUUCGUGCCAGCCGCCGCCGUAA
rnacentral:rRNA from 1 species